UCUUAUCUACAGUUCCCGUUUCCAAGUUUUGGUAACCAACAUUUGCCGGUCAUUGCCACCGCUAAUACUUCCUCCUUUCACCAGCUUAGAUAUCCAUGGUAGCAUCAUGCUCUAAUUUGGGGGUUACGAACCCUAGAAAUGGUGGAAUACCUGUAUUGAAAAUUGGAAGUCAAGAUAGAUGCAGAUCGAUUGGAAGUAAGCGAAGUCGACGGAACCCUAACAAAGGUCUAGGUUUGAAUCAGGGUAUCAGACUUGCGAUUCCAGUGCGUCGCCACCACCAACAUUCAAUGGCGUCAAUGGUCUUUUCCGGCGAUUCUCGGCUUCAACUAACAUCAUCGGAUGCUUGCUUGAUGUAACACAGAAAAACAUACCCGCUGCAAAGUGCGAGCAUGGCAGUGUGAUUUCUAUGUUAUGUAUGCCCAAGGCCCACUUUUUAUAGGUCAAUGGAAUCAACAAUUGCCGUUGACCUUCUGUACAGUACAACAAUUAGUCAUAUUUUUUCUCUUAUUCACAGUACUGCCACCAUUCCUUUUUCGCACGAACCGCUCAAAUGCCAAGGGCAUCGAGACACCACUUAUGCCUCCAGUUACUACCAUCGAGCACCACCUCUCUGGUCACCUACCGCCUUCGAUCACCACUGCUCCGUGCCAAAUCGUCAUCGGCCACACAACCACCGCCAAAUCAGAAGCUCGCAACUUUAUCUAUUUCCUAACCACAACCCAAGCGAUGGUUUUCGUCUCAGAUAAGGGCUCCAACAGGUACGCUUUAACAAACUAGGUUUCCAAUUUCAGUUACUUUUAGUGUUCAUUAGGAGAAAUUGUUUGAAAAAGUUUUGAACGAAUCGACUUUUCUGUUGGAAUUGGAGUUUCAGAGGGUUGCGUGUAAAAACCGUAUGAUGUUAUAUUUCUACUCAAGAAAGGAAUCCCGGGUUAACAGGUAUAUGGGUGGAUCGAGUUGUAAGUAUUAAAAUCGGUUCGAAUCAUAGUAAACAAAAAUGUUUUUUAUUAUCGCUGUGAUUAUUAGCCGUGUAAUAGGCAUAUGUUAUGAAUUUUGUUACUGUGUGCUCCAUUGAAGAUCAAUAGGAUGGAUAUCCCUUUGUGUUUAACAUCAUUUUUAGUGUUGUUGAUUAAACUGAUAUGAAUUUGACAAUGACGUAUUGCAACCGUUUGUGUUUCUGCGCGAACCUUUGUGCUUAUGCACGAGCCUUUGUGAUGAUUAUAAUGUUGAAGUUCAAUUGGAUGCACCUUUGUGUUUACAUCAUCAAUCAUGUUUGAAACAAACUGAUUAGAGUCUAAUGCAUCAAUUAUUGGGAUAAAAUCCAGUUACAUCAGUCACGUUGUCGUAGUGUCAAAUGAUGGUUACAGCACUGGAGCCGCCUACAUGGUUGGCAGUGACGGAGCGUGAUGGUGAUGGCUGUUCAGAUUGGUCGUUGUCUAACGUGAUGGUGGAGGUGAGUUCUAUUGAAGAUUUGGGACUGAGGGCCAAGCCGAUGCGUGUAAGAAGCCUGUCUGGAAUAAGUUUUCUGAUGGAGUCGUGAAUGCAGUUAGUCCGGUUAUGAGUGCGGCUUGGCAUGCGCUCGGUGUAUCAACUAAACCGACGCUUAAGUCGUCUUCGUUGGAGUCAUUAAAAGCGCUUUAUUAUCCCCCUGCGUUACCGGUAGCAGUUUUACUUUAGUAUUCUAAUUGAUUGUUUAAUCUUUAGUAAUUUGGAAAAUUGAAUACGCUUAUUUAUGUAUAUAGAUGAAAAUUUGAAUUAAAAGAUCUUUGUGCAUAGUUGCAUAUGUAUAAGUUUCAAAUACUUAUGAAUUACAUUGCUCAUAUCUUAUUUAA